GCAGACCUGAGCCAGUUCUAUAAGGGUCGGUAGAUGAUCUGACGACUAUGAAGAGAAGCAGCGAAGAGAAGGGGUGCCGUGUCUGUAGAUGUAGACCCUCCCACGCCGGUCUAGGCAAACGCUGCCACUCCUCACUCCCUAACUAUAGCUUGAUUAAAGAGGAGAGUUUUAACUUUACUCUUAAAUGUGGUGACGGUGUCUGCUUCCAGAACACAGACCGGGAGCUGGUUCCAAAGGAGAGGAGCCCGGCAGCUGAACGGGCUCCCAUUAUACUUUUAGAGACUCUAGGAACAACAAGUAACUCUGCAUUCUGGGGGCUCAGUGCUCCAGUGGGG